GCUACCACAUGCCUUGCACAAAAUAGGUGUUCAUUAAACGAAUGAACCAAUAGAACCAUAAUUUCAUCACUAAAAUGGGUCAGAAGGUGCUUUUUUCUUUUUUAGAUGAUUCAUAGAACACUUCAGGAUCUCAAAGUGCUUUUGAUUUAUUAUGACUAACACAAACCAUCAUUGGAGAGGCUGAAAAUAAAUCUGGGUAUUUGAAUUUCCUGGUUUGGAUUUCUGAACAAAACUGAGAGAAAGUACAUUUAGCAACCAGGGGACUGACAGAACCUAAAGGAAAAAUUGAGAAAGACACCCUGAAGGCCUGUGCUGCCCUGCCAGGAGGAACAAGCUCAGAUGUUGGUGCUCUGGCAGUGAUCUCUAUCUUUGCUGUGCAGCUGUAGACAAAAGGAUUAGUGAUGGCCAUGGGCGACAUGCAACAAGAUUGACAAAAGGCUCAGCAGUAAGAACAGCGUCCACCCAGUGCUGGGUGCAGAAUGUGAACCUGAAGACAAGGCAGGGAAGACAGGGUGGUAUGUCUUUCCUUGGGGAUGGGGAUUGGUAAACAUAGAACAAAUAAUGCAGGCCUUUUCCAUGAGAGGAAUUUGGGGCCACCCCACUGCCUGAGAGGUAGGACAAUUUGCAGUUAUCCUUUGCUGCUACCAGGAUCUGCAGCCUUCCCCAGUGUAGGCUCCCCUGGUGUUAUGCGCCCUGCUUAGCUUCUGUGUUUGCACACAGGCCUGUUGUGCACCCUGCAGGGGCUGGCCAAUCAAAUGUGUCUGAAGUAUGCUGUAAUUAUAUAGGAUGUCCCAAAAAUUUAUAUACAUACUUUGAAUAAUU